UAGGGAUUAUAGGAAACAUAGAGAUUGCGUUGAUUUCUUGAAGUAAAGUGGCACAUUCUCAUAAUCAUAAAUAAUAUAUGGAUUUGUGCUUGUCAAUUAUUUAAGUGCCACUUGUUCUUCUGAACGUACAGUAUUGUAUUGAGCACCGAUGAUCUCCCAAAUACCUUACGCAGCAUCCAGCAUUCUGUUUUUUUUGCUUCCUAGAGCUUCGCCAUUCCCGAUUGUUCGUCAAGUGCAAAUUGUCAAAUUUAAUGCUUAAAUUUUCUUCAAUGUUUUAACUCCUGAGACGAACCAGCCCAGGAGGCUGAAAGUCUCAAAAAUAAAGAUUUAAAAAAAAUGUUUUGACUCGCUAUAUUUUCUAGGAUGUUCGCCGUUUUUGAAUUUGGGAUAAAACUACACAUAAGCUUCUUUCAAUCAUCCAAAUCAGUUGCAAGUUUUCGCUGUUCCUGCUACUCUCAAUAAUAAUGGAACAUUAUUUUGCCAUUGUGCCAUCGUGGAAUUCAAUUCUGAAAUUAUGUUGAGAUAGAGGUAAGAUGAUAUAUAAUAUAAACAAACAUUACAUAAAGCAUUUUUGUUACCUGUCCAUAAUUCGAUUUGGGAAUUCCUUAUGCUGUUUUUUUAUUUGCUUGCUUCCGAGGCAGAGAAACUUUAGCAAUAUUUUUCGCAUCGAUAAGUAUUCUAACUGCAAAAUAAGUACACAAAAACCAGUUGAUAUUUGAGACUGUUUCUUCAAUAUUAUAAUGUUCGCAUCCGUGUUUUGACAGUUCAGCGAGAAAGAGAAAAUCAAUCGCUGCAGUGAUGCCGUUUCACUCAAUACAGGUAAUCGAGCCUGCGGGAAGGGAAUCGGGAUUAUAUUCCAGUAGUUUCCGUCGCUCGGUCCACAUUGUACCUAUAACCGCUCGAAAAUAUAGGAAACUGGGUAUCGAUGCAAGUGUCAGAACUUUUCGAGUUGUUUGGUUCACUUGUUGCAUAUCUUUAGAGAAUUAUUUUGUUUUAGUUUGCGUCCCUGAUAUUUUCCUUUAGGAAACAUUUCAGAAACUCUUGAAUAUAUGCAAUUUUCAACACAUGUUCGUUUGUUUUGAUCAGUAUUUGUUUUAAGGUGCUGCCAGAAUAGUCUAUACAAGCACAUAUUUCAGUGGCUGAAAACGAGUGGACAGACAAAUCACCACCUGUUUGAACGACUCGUUGAACCAAUGGAAGCGAAUGUAAACAUUGCUCGAGGUAUUUGUGGAGGCAGUUCAAAUAAAAUCCCGGUUAAGGAAACGUGGGAUGAAUUCAGUGAGGAGCUUAAUGCACUGAAACAAUCAAUGCGUCUUGGUUCAGAAUGACAGAAAAUUUGGAUUGUCAUGAGAUGAAAAGUAAAUAAACACUAGCACACAACAAGCGAGAAUUCAGGGCCAAAGGUGGUGGCCCAAUACAAUAAAACUAUUGACGCCGCUACAACAAGAAAUCGACGCUAAAAGAGAAUUACAUAAAAAAAAAUGUUUUCCUUAAAAAAGUGGAAUUUAUGUGUGACUCCUUACGGAAUUCCAUAGAUUGCAGUUGUGAAAAUAAAUGAAAAGAUUCAUUUUCUAAUAAUUAUAUUUUUGUAAAGCAAAUUGUUCCAUGAUAUCGUUUUUAUUACACAUCCAUGCAUGCAUUACGCCUAUUAAGCUUCAUUCGUUGAGGGAAUAUCAGUUUUCUCCAAAACAU